rnacentral:rRNA from 1 species
AUUGGACGCUGGCGGCAGGCCUAACACAUGCAAGUCGAGCGAGCGGCGGACGGGUGAGUAAUGUAUGGGGAUCUGCCCGAUAGAGGGGGAUAACUACUGGAAACGGUGGCUAAUACCGCAUACUAUCGGAUGAACCAAUAUGGGAUUAGCUAGUAGGUGGGGUAACGGCUCACCUAGGCGACGAUCUCUAGCUGGUCUGAGAGGAUGAUCAGCCACACUGGGACUGAGACACGGCCCAGAUGCCUACGGGAGGCAGCAGUGGGGAAUAGUGCACAAUGGGCGCAAGCCUGAUGCAGCCAUGCCGCGUGUAUGAAGAAGGCCUUCGGUUUGUAAAGUACUUUCAGCGAGGAGGCGUUACUCGCAGAAGAAGCACCGGCUAACUCCGUGCCAGCAGCCGCGGUAAUUC